UCAGGUGCCUUCUGCUGAGCCUGAGCAGGGCCCAGUUCUGCAAAUUCUGCCCAGCCUAAGCACAUUCUCAUCCUCUCUAAGGCAAUGCAGAGACCCCCCACUCUUUCCCAGCAAUGUCUAAACUCAGACGGACACCAGAGGAAAGCUACCUGAGUCAUCACGGCUCCCUGGUCAGAGCUAGCCAUGACGAGGAUUUGUACCUGCGUAUACCACUUCCUUGUUUUGAGCUGGUAUAUUUUUCUCAAUUAUUACAUCUCACAACAAGGAGGAGACCAGCGGAAAUCCAAAGUCUUUCUCAAUGGCGGACAGUGGAAGUACUUGACAUUCCUAAAUCUGCUCUUGCAGGCCAUUUUCUACGGGGUCGUCUGUGUGGAAGAUGUACUAAAAAGAAUUAAGGGGGAAAAAGACAUUAAGUUCAUGACCGCCUUCAGAGACCUGCUUUUUACCACGCUGGCUUUCCCAAUCUCCACAUUUGUGUUUUUGUCGUUCUGGAUCCUCUUUCUCUACGAUCGAGAGCUUGUUUACCCUAAGGCCUUAGAUGGUAUCUUUCCAGUGUGGUUGAAUCAUGCCAUGCACACAUCCAUCCUGCCCUUUGCACUGGCGGAAGUCAUCCUCAGCCCGCACUGCUAUCCACGGAAGAAGGAAGGUCUCACCUUGUUGGCUCUCGCUAGUCUUGUGUACAUCAGCAGGGUCCUGUGGAUCUACUCUGAGACGGGUACGUGGGUGUAUCCUGUCUUAGCCAAACUCAGCCCGGUGGGUCUAACAGCCUUCUUCUCUCUCAGCUACGUCUUUAGUGCUGGCAUCUAUCUACUUGGAGAGAAGCUCAACUACUGGAAAUGGGACGCAAGACUGCUGACAUCAAGACAGGAGUUCCUCAGAAAGAAAAACACAACCUAAAGAAUCUAUCAGGCACAAAAAGGAACUAAGUGCUCCCAGAUGGACAUGGCAGGGCCCCUUCUAGGUGACAUGAUGAAGCCAAGGAAGAAGAGGAAGUGAUCCCAGGCGGUUUUCCAAGAACAAAGGAGGAAGAAAACAUGAGAGUUUCAUUUCUAUUUCUUUUCUUUUCUUUUCUUUUCUUUUCUUUGCUUUUCUUUUCUUUUCUUUUCUUUUCUUUUCUUUUCGGGUUGAGGGAGGUGGUGGAGCAACAUAGGAAGGUAGAAAGGACAGUGAAUGACAUUUAAAUUUAAUAAGAGUGUUUAUGAAGGUAGCUUAAUGUGGGGACUCUGGGGUUUUUUUGUUUUGUUUUGUUUUGUUUUGCAAGUUUACUGGACAUGCCAAAAACAACAACUUCUGUCUCAGAAUCUGUUACCUUUAUCUGGCCUCUGUGGUGAAAAUCUGCCAAAGUCCAAGGAAAUUCACGUAAACUCAACAUUAGAGAAUGUUUAGAGAGAGAAAGGGAUUUGGCAUCACCAAAACUCUUCACCUUACAGAGGAGGGUGUUGAGGACCUAGCUGGGAAGUAAUCUGCACGAGGGCCAAGGAGCUAGUAUCACGACUAAGGUGACGGCAUUUGUCCCCCUGAUCUUCUAACUCCCAGUCCUAUGCCAUUUUUAAUGAGUCCAACUUUUCUAAAAUCAAGUGUUUUCAUCAACUAGCUAUUUUCAUGGACUGCUCAUCUAUUUUGUUUUCCUCAGUCGAGACAGAGAUGUAGGGAGAUGGAUGCUACCGAAGUCAUCUGUCCACCUGAUCAGAGAGCAAAUUAAUUGGGCAAUGAGAAAGUAAGUUAUAAAAAUUAUGGAGAAAUCUGCCCCUCUUGUGAGCAAAUAUGGGGUUUUGCGACAUCAUCAUCGAAAUCUCUUCCAUUCGAAUAUUGCUUCCUUCGUCAAAUGCACACCACUCUUGGGGAGUAAGUGAUGGGAAGUGACAUGGCUAUGAGGAUCCCUGAGAAUGCUUUGAUACAUUUGAUACAGUUAGCUUAUGCUUUAACAAAGCUGAUGGCUAGGGGAUUAACACAUUCACGAACUCUGCUCUGAUCUUCCCAGGAAAUUUUCCUGGGUGUUUAUUCACAGGCACAUUUUGUAAAGAACGUGGAUGAUAAGGGUCUACUGGUGGGUAAGCAUGGAGUCCAGUGGUGCGUCACCAGGGUCGUGUGGGCUGGGUGUGGGCAGCAGAGUAAAUUGUAUUUGGGUUUCCCAACCUAACACCAUGCAGGAGAAAUUUGGCAAAAAUGGUAAAAUUUGGUAAAACCUAUUCCUAGAACCACAUCAGAACUUGAUGGCUCUAUGACUGGCCACUGUGCCAUAUCUAUUCCAAGACCAGAAAACCUCAGAAAUACCAAAAACAGUCUUGAGUUAGAGAAGAGGGCAGACUGCCACAACUGGGCAGGCAGCGCCAGGAUGCCUAGGACAGGCACCAACAAACCUGCUAUCUUCCUAAUCCUUUAUCUACUAAUAUAUAAACAUGAGCCGCAAGUCUUUUUGGAUUGAACUGUGGCUGCUUGAGUGCUCAGAACACCUGGUCUAAGCAGGAGCCCAGAAGCAGUUGUCACAGUGGAAAUUCCCCAAACACGAAGCCCACAGGGGAUCACCCAAAUUUUCCACACCCCAAAGGUGACUGGGGCUGCAUACUUCUUAGAGUGAUAGUAAGCUCCUGGUGGGGAUGAACCUGCAGAAUUCUAUUUGUGGCUUCACUGUCCCUGGAACCAAAUUAAACCUUGAUUUUUGUAUGAUUGACCAUCCUGCAGGAUCCAUUCCAAUGCCAGAAAUACCUGAGAACCACCUCCCACUGAGCAAAUACACCAGUAGGCUUCCUCACCAAUAAUCCUUCCCGUCGCAGAAGCUGAGGUGGUCAACAUGAGAGCUACUGUUUCACUGAAGAUAUUCUCUCCACGUUAAAUCCCAGAAUCCUGUUACCAGUGGUGAUCAACUUAUAGUUCCACGGGACUCAGCAGCGGAAAACCCACUGACAGAAUGGAAUAUAGAGCAAGUAAAUUUUGAAAAAAAGGAAAAGCAGAUGAGGAAUGGCCUGGAGAAUAAACACCGCAUGUGAGUGGAGCUCCAGACGGAUUGACUGGACAGUCCAGAUGACCCUAAAGAGUGCCUACAGGGUACAGAUCCAAAUCAGGGAGACUGGUCCCCAAAAGAGAAUUGGGAGCAGGAGAGCAUUGAAGACAAAUUCUGUUGACAUCAGAAUUUAUUUUCUUUCAGGUGCCUGCUUGGCCCUUUCUUACAGAUGAUAGCUCUUAGCAUUAGGAUUUGGUCUAGUCUGACUCUUCUUUGUCUUGAGACUUCUUUAACCAUUUCCAUGGUAUGGCAGGGACCAUGGAAAGGGUCUCUGUUCUUACUGCCACUCCAGAUAUCUUACUAAUGUACAAAAAAAGUCCCUCACCAUUGAUAAAGUAUUCCACUGAACAUGGAGAGACCCAUCUAACUCAUAAAUGAGAGAGGUAACUGUUGACUUACACUCAUUCGUAUUCAAUGAUCAAUGAAGGAUAUUUGAUGACUUGAAAGCAAGUAAUAUGGGAAAAAGUAUGCUUAGCAGAGUGAAAAUGAGGAUAUUGGAAAUAAAGAGGUUCAGAAAGGGUCAGCUGCAGACCCCAAGAACAAACCUUACCUAGUUCACAAGUUUUUAUCACAUGAAUGGCCAAGAGAUGACUGGUUAUGGGUCCUGGCUCUCCAUCUCACUCUGAGGGAGAUGAUUUAUGGUCAGUGUACAACCAAGAGAACUGGACAGUGAUCUUGGCCACUGGUGGGUCAACAAAAUUCUGCAUGCCUUUGGAGGAGUGGAAAGAAGAGGCAUGGAGAACGACUGGAGACAUGUCAUUCUUCAUAUUUCCAGUCUUGGUUAUCUGGCUGGCACUACAGGAAUUUCAAUUUACUCUGGAACUGGAGAGAGGACUUAGUGUUGGAUUGUCACCAUUCUUAAAAAGAGAGGAGGCAGGCAAAGAAAAAUUUGGAUUACGUUGGCUCUUGAAGGGCUUCACCUGGAUUUACUUUCCCCAAGAUCCCUGUCUUGUUUUUGGUGUUUUUUUUUGUUUGUUUGUUUUUUGUUCUUUGUUUUUUUAGUAUUUUAUUUAUUUGACACAGAGAGUGCAACCACGGGGAACAGCAGAGGGAGAGGGAGAAGCAGAUCCCCUGUUGAGUAGGGAGCCUGAGAUCAGGACCUGAGCCAAAAUCAGUAAGUCAAUGGACUGAGACAUCCCGUUACCCUGCCAAGUUUCCUUCUUACCCACACAUCUCGUCAACCAGUCCCAGAGCUCCUGAAGUGUUGAGGAAGGAUGGACACUUACUCAAGGUACACUGGGCUACUUUGAGAGCAAGCAACAGGACCUGUCACUGUUGUAUCUCCCACACAGGACCCAAUGUGUCAUAUACAGUAGACUUUAAAUGCAUAUUUGACACUCAGAUUUGGGUAACAUGUUCAGUGCCUCCUGGUGGCAUGGGAAUUUAAACCUAGAUCUACCCAACACACAUGCCCCACUGGUUUCCAUUCCACCAAAGUCUUACUGACUGAUACCUCAGAAAUACAUUUUACAUCAUGACUAUAGAAACACACACUUUUUAAAAAAAUAUUUAUUUAUUUGACAGAGAUCACAAGUAGGCAGAGAGGCAGGCAGCGAAAGGGGGAAGCAGGCUCCCUGCUAAGCAGAGAGCCCGAUGUGGGGCUCAAUCCCAGGACUCUGAGAUCAUGACCUGAGCCAAAGGCCAAGGCUUAACCACUGAGCCAUCCAGGCACCCCCAGACACACACUUUCAUAUAUGUGAUAGACCUUCUUUCAAUAUGUGUGAUAGACCCCUUUAUUUUCCAUCCUAUUGUUUUCCAUUGUAUUACCUGAAAUAUGUUGUGACCAUUACUUCGAUUUCUUUCUUUUUUUUUUUUUUUUAAGAUUUUAUUUAUUUAUUUGACAGACAGAGAUCCCAAGUAGGCAGAGAGGCAGGCAGAGAGAGGAGGAAGCAGGCUCCCCGCUGAGCAGAGAGCCCGAUGUGGGGCUCGAUCCCAGGACCCUGGGACCAUGACCUGAGCCGAAGGCAGAGGCUUUAACCCACUGAGCCACCCAGGCGCCCCCAUUACUUCGAUUUCUUAAUCCAACCAUAAGACUGCAACCUGGUUGCAGUUGAACAACAAACAGAGCGUUCCACCUUACUGUAGGACUCAUUCAUUCAUUCAUGGGGCUCUGGCCAUUUGCAUUAAGGUUAGGAGUUUGCAGCCUUUCCUCCUGCAGCAUCUGUGGGAGUGUCGAAGCAAGCCCUGCUUCUGCUCACUGUGUGAGCACUGCCCUUCUAGACUCAGCCCCUCUGAGAGGCAGGCAGGAAGACGAGAACAAACAUUUCCACUGCCAGAGCUUACAAACCCUUCCGCUGAAGGUGUACGUCUUCCCUGAGCUGCCACCUUUGGUGACACUGUAGGGAUUUGUUUUCUCUCAACACUUAAUUUUAUUAAGACUCAAAUAAUGAAGUUAGAUGAAGUUGAGUUAAGGAAACAAAUACCGUAUGACUCUUACCUUGACAGGAACCUGAUAUUCAGUUCUGAAAACUCUCAGUCUGAGGUGUUGGGUUUUAUUCCCCGGGGAAACUUUUCCUGAGUUUAUUCUAAAAUGCACUCAUGUUGUCAUUUUAUAUACGUGCGUUGUUAUCUCAAGUUCGCUAAUUUUGAAAGUCACGUAAAGUAAAAUUCUUUUUAUUAUAAAAUAAAUUGCAUUGGUAUUGUCCAUA